GAUGAGCCCGCGGCCUAUCAGCUUGUUGGUGGGGUAAUGGCCUACCAAGGCGACGACGGGUAGCCGGCCUGAGAGGGCGACCGGCCACACUGGGACUGAGACACGGCCCAGACUCCUACGGGAGGCAGCAGUGGGGAAUAUUGCACAAUGGGCGAAAGCCUGAUGCAGCGACGCCGCGUGAGGGAUGACGGCCUUCGGGUUGUAAACCUCUUUCAGCAGGGAAGAAGCGAAAGUGACGGUACCUGCAGAAGAAGCGCCGGCUAACUACGUGCCAGCAGCCGCGGUAAUACGUAGGGCGCAAGCGUUGUCCGGAAUUAUUGGGCGUAAAGAGCUCGUAGGCGGCUUGUCACGUCGGGUGUGAAAGCCCGGGGCUUAACCCCGGGUCUGCAUCCGAUACGGGCAGGCUAGAGUGUGGUAGGGGAGAUCGGAAUUCCUGGUGUAGCGGUGAAAUGCGCAGAUAUCAGGAGGAACACCGGUGGCGAAGGCGGAUCUCUGGGCCAUUACUGACGCUGAGGAGCGAAAGCGUGGGGAGCGAACAGGAUUAGAUACCCU
rnacentral:rRNA from 1 species